rnacentral:rRNA from 1 species
UACAGAGGGGGCAAGCGUUAUUCGGAAUGAUUGGGCGUAAAGGGCGCGUAGGCGGCUUUGCAAGUGACGGGUGAAAUCCCUCGGCUUAACCGAGGAACUGCCUGUCAAACUGCAUGGCUUGAGUCCGGGAGAGGUGAGUGGAAUUCCCAGUGUAGCGGUGAAAUGCGUAGAUAUUGGGAGGAACACCAGUGGCGAAGGCGGCUCACUGGACCGGUACUGACGCUGAUGCGCGAAAGCGUGGGGAGCAAACAGG